rnacentral:rRNA from 1 species
GAUUAACGCUGGCGGCGUGCAUAACACAUGCAAGUCGAACGAUGAAACUUAACUGAUUUCUUCGGAAUGAUUUUAAGUGGAUUAGUGGCGGACGGGUGAGUAACGCGUGAGUAACCUGCCUUGGAGAAGGGGAUAGCCUUUGGAAACGAAGAAUAAUACCCUAUGAUAUGAUAAUAUCUCAUGAUAUUAUCAUCAAAGAUUUAUCGCUCUAAGAUGGACUUGCGUCUGAUUAGUUAGUUGGUGAGGUAACAGCUCACCAAGGCAGCGAUCAGUAGCCGGCUUGAGAGAGUGUACGGCCACAUUGGGACUGAGACACGGCCCAGACUCCUACGGGAGGCAGCAGUGGGGAAUUUUGCACAAUGGGGGAAACCCUGAUGCAGCGACGCCGCGUGAUUUAGAAGGCCUUCGGGUUGUAAUAAUCUUUUGUAUGGGAAGAAAAUGACAGUACCAUACGAAUAAGGACCGGCUAAUUACGUG